rnacentral:ncRNA from 1 species
CUGGUUGAUCCUGCCAGUAGUCAUAUGCUUGUCUCAAAGAUUAAGCCAUGCAUGUCUAAGUACAAGCUCGUCUCGAGCGAAACUGCGGAUGGCUCAUUAAAUCAGUUAUGGUUCAUUGGAUCGAGUCCCCCCGACAUGGAUAACUGUGGUAAUUCUAGAGCUAAUACAUGCGUCCAAGCGCCGACUUUCCAGAAGGCGUGCUUUUAUUAGGAACAAGACCAGCCCGGUCUCGGCCGGCCACACUGGUGAACUCUGGAUAACACAGCCGAUCGCACGGUCUUUGCACCGGCGACGGAUCCUUCGAAUGUCUGCCCUAUCAACUUUCGAUGGUACGUUAUGCGCCUACCAUGGUCGUCACGGGUAACGGAGAAUCAGGGUUCGAUUCCGGAGAGGGAGCCUGAGAAACGGCUACCACAUCCAAGGAAGGCAGCAGGCGCGCAAAUUACCCACUCCCGACACGGGGAGGUAGUGACGAAAAAUAACAAUACAGGACUCUUUCGAGGCCCUGUAAUUGGAAUGAGUACACUUUAAAUCCUUUAACGAGGAUCCACUGGAGGGCAAGUCUGGGUUGCAGUGAAGGAGAAGAACAAAGAUAACUGUUUAGCAUACAAA